rnacentral:rRNA from 2 species
UAAAACCAGCACCUCAAGUGGUCAGGAUGAUUAUUGGGCCUAAAGCAUCCGUAGCCUGCUCUGUAAGUUUUCGGUUAAAUCUGUGUGCUUAACGUACAGGCCGCCGGAAAUACUGCAGGGCUAGGGAGUGGGAGAGGUAGACGGUACUCGGGAGGAAGUGGUAAAAUGCUUUGAUCUUUCGAUGACCACCUGUGUCGAAGGCGGUCUACCAGAACACGUCCGACGGUGAGGGAUGAAAGCUGGGGGAGCAAACCGGAUUAGAUACCCGGGUAGUCCCAGCCGUAAACUAUGCAAACUCAGUGAUGCAUUGGCUUGUGGCCAAUGCAGUGUUGCAGGGAAGCCGUUAAGUUUGCCGCCUGGGAAGUACGUACGCAAGUAUG